rnacentral:rRNA from 1 species
ACGAACGCUGGCGGCGUGCUUAACACAUGCAAGUCGAACGAUGAACCCGGAGCUUGCUCUGGGGGAUUAGUGGCGAACGGGUGAGUAACACGUGAGUAACCUGCCCUGGACUCUGGGAUAAGCGUUGGAAACGACGUCUAAUACCGGAUAGGACCUUGGAUCGCAUGAUCUGGGGUGGAAAGUUUUUUCGGUCUGGGAUGGACUCGCGGCCUAUCAGCUUGUUGGUGAGGUAAUGGCUCACCAAGGCGUCGACGGGUAGCCGGCCUGAGAGGGUGACCGGCCACACUGGGACUGAGACACGGCCCAGACUCCUACGGGAGGCAGCAGUGGGGAAUAUUGCACAAUGGGCGAAAGCCUGAUGCAGCAACGCCGCGUGCGGGAUGACGGCCUUCGGGUUGUAAACCGCUUUUAGUAGGGAAGAAGGGCUUCGGCUUGACGGUACCUGCAGAAAAAGGACCGGCUAACUACGUG